rnacentral:rRNA from 1 species
UGGGGAAUUUUGGACAAUGGGGGCAACCCUGAUCCAGCAAUGCCGCGUGUGUGAAGAAGGCCUUCGGGUUGUAAAGCACUUUUGUCCGGAAAGAAAACUUCGGGGCUAAUACCCCUGGAGGAUGACGGUACCGGAAGAAUAAGCACCGGCUAACUACGUGCCAGCAGCCGCGGUAAUACGUAGUGUGCGAGCGUUAAUCGGAAUUACUGGGCGUAAAGCGUGCGCAGGCGGUGCUGUAAGACCGAUGUGAAAUCCCCGGGCUUAACCUGGGAACUGCAUUGGUGACUGCAGCGCUGGAGUAUGGCAGAGGGGGGUGGAAUUCCACGUGUAGCAGUGAAAUGCGUAGAGAUGUGGAGGAACACCGAUGGCGAAGGCAGCCCCCUGGGCCAAUACUGACGCUCAUGCACGAAAGCGUGGGGAGCAAACAGG